UACAGAGGUCUCAAGCGUUGUUCGGAUUCAUUGGGCGUAAAGGGUGUGUAGGUGGCGCCGUAAGUCGGGUGUGAAAUUUCGGAGCUUAACUCCGAAACUGCAUUCGAUACUGCGGUGCUUGAGGACUGGAGAGGAGACUGGAAUUCAUGGUGUAGCAGUGAAAUGCGUAGAGAUCAUGAGGAAGACCAGUGGCGAAGGCGGGUCUCUGGACAGUUCCUGACACUGAGACACGAAGGCCAGGGGAGCAAUCGGG
rnacentral:rRNA from 1 species